GUUGAAGGGCGGUCCAAUCGCAGUUUCACACUGCCGCCGCCACGGCCCACGGCGCCACGCCCUGUUGCCCGUUUCGUCUCCCGUCCCCUUCCUAGUCUCCCCCCAAAACAAGAAGCGGGCUGGCGGCUGCAGUUUCCCGCCUGCUCGCACAUUGGCGCGAAAUUUGCCGAGCUACCUUGCGCGCUCCCUUCCCGCAUCCCAGCAAUAACACUAUCUACAGUGUAAGCCAAAGUUCCUAGUCCCCCUCCCCUCCGCUCCCUUCUCUCUCCUCCUCACGGACGUCAGAGCUCCUUCCCCAUUCCGGCGUUGCCAAGAAGGCCGGUUUCCGGGCCCUGUCUUCCGCUACCUCGCCGGCCGCCUUUCACCGUCAUACAAGGAAAUAGGAAAUAUUUUUCUGUCUGUACCAUUGCUUUCCAGACCCACAAUGCCUGCUUCUGCUCACAAAAAUCUCGAUUCUGGUUGUCCUAGGAGAUCUACAAGGUUUAAGGAUAUUCAUGUAGUUUAUGAAGAUUCUGACAGGGAUCCUUCUUCUUUUAAGAGGAUCAAAACUGAAGUAAUUGAUUCUGAACUAAGUGUUGGUUCUGUCAGUGACAAGGAUAGUGAACACAAUUGUCAUGAUGUAUUACUCAAGGAUCUCAGGACUCAGUGUAAAGCUAAGAAUCGGAAGAUUUCAAAAAUCACAUUGGAAGGAUGUGGCAUUAAGAAUCAGGUUAAAACAGAAGAUGACAUUGAUCUUGAUAAGCCUAUUGUUGCAUUGAAACAGAAGAGGCUGAAAACAUCUCCUGCUAAGGCUAAUAUAAAGAUGGAUGCGCUAAGAUCUUCUCCAUGUGCUGCUAAAGAGAAAGAUACAACAUCAGCCAGAGACAAGAUUCUUAGUUCUGCACAGACUUUCCUGCUGAAAGCAACAAUGCAAGACCGAGGAUUAGAGAAGCCUGGAAGGAGAAUUGCAGAACUGGAGCAGUCUAAAGUUGUUAUUGAUUCUGCUGAAGAAAUAGUUGGGGAGCAAAUUUAUUGUGCUGAAGUGAACAAUACAGCUGGAGUUCUAGCGGGUUGUGUAAAACCUGAUGUACUAUAUGAAAUAAAAACUGAAGAUACAAAUUAUUCUGAAUUUGGAACUUCUAUGUGUUCCAUAAAGAAUCCUGAUCAUUCAUCCUUUGAGCUGCAACAGAAGCUGGUGGAUGAUGAUGACUGUGUGCCUCCAUUUUGUUUCAUGACCCGACCAGCUCAAUUAGCUGAUGUUUCUGAUCAUUCCUGCGAACAAACCUGCAGUUCCAAAGAAAACAAUUCUGAUGACAUUACAGCUGCAAAGGCAACUGAUGUUGUUUCUUCAUUGGAUCUCACUGAUGAAGUGAGAAAUCAUCAGAAAACAUCUGAAAAUAUAACUAAUUUAGAUGUGGAUAAGUCUUCUACUGCAAAUGGACUUAUGGCUUCUUUCAGUGAGUCCUGCCAUGACCGUAUAGAUAAAGAUGAGCAAUGGAAUUUAUUUGCCCAUGGGAAUGAACCUGCAAAGAUUUUGGAAGAGUUGUCUCCUAUUGAUGAGUCUAGCACAGAUACUCAAUCUGAUUUGUGUAGAAGCACAGAAAUGAAUUUCACUUCACUUGAGGGGGUUGUACGGAUGGAGGCUGAGGGCCAAUUGGAUUCAAUAGUCUGCUGUGGUGUAAGACCAAAGCAUAUGUUACUAGAUAUGGAAAUUGGACAUACAGCCACUGGUACAUUCACCUUUGACAAGACUAUCGACUUAGCUCAUCCUGCCAAUUUUGUUGCACAAGAUGGAAGGCUAGAAAGUAUAGUAUAUGAUGUUUUGAAUAAUCAUGCACAAAGGACAACCUCUAAAAGUAAAUCUUCUGUUGGACUUCCAGAUACUGCUGUGCUUCAGAGCUCACUUAUUGAGUUCACUGACAAUUGUCUGGAAGAUAAAAGGGCUUCAGAUGAUAAAUUUUCACAUCCCAAUAAUGUGGACUUGCCAUUGAAGGAUACGUUAAAUUCUACAAUAGACUAUGACAUUUGUAGAUCUAUUAAUAAUGAAGGAUCAGAAGAAGAAAUAGUGCCUCAACAUCAGUUAUACCAGUCAUGUAGUGAUAAGUUCAACCUUAGCAGUGUCAUGCCAGAGAUCUCUAAUGCUGAAAAAUCACAAAAAUUAUCUGCUGGAACUCAAAAUUCUUCUGCUACUUCUUUGGAAACUGACGGACGAAUUAAAAGGCCAAAUUUUUUUGUGGAUGAGGAAUCAAUUGAAGAACAUGCUCCAAAAGUAUUACUGUCCAAGAGAAAGAUUAUGUCACCAACGUCUCAGGAGAAGCUUUACAGUGCUGUGACUGGUAUUGAUUUGUGUGAUGGAGUCCAAAGAUCGAAUAGCAAAAUCAUUAUUGAAGAUUGUGACAAAACUACAAUAUCAUUGCCUCAGCCAGCACACAUGCAAGGCAAAUCAAUGUUCCACACAGACAGGAGACUUAAGGACAGGACAUCUGUCUCCCCUACAAGCAAAGGACUUCUGAAGUCAACAGGAUCCCCGCCCAAUCAACAGACUUGUUCUUGCAUGAGAAGUUCGCCAGUGGUCUUAGACACUGAGAAAGCUGUUGAGUUUUCACAAAGACAGAUGCAUGAUAUAGAAAAUAUUGCUGCAAAGCUUAUCAGGAGCUUGAAACACAUGAAAAGUAUAGUGGAUGAAAGUUUGUCAACAGAAGCAUACUCUUUACUUCCUAAUUUUAACAUUGCCCAGAGCAGCCUCUGAGGAUGCAUUAGAAGUGGAGAGGACUACGAGGAAAUGGCUGUCGAUAAUGAACAAAGACUGCAGUCGCUUUUGUAAAAUAUUGAGCCUAGCAAAGAAGAAUGAUGUUUCUCAUCCUGAAGCGCCAAGGAAACAAAGAAAAAUAACGUUUGCAGAUGAAGCUGGAGGAAUGCUCUGCCAUGUUAAGUUUUUUAAGGAUGGACAAGCCUCUCUUUCUGAAUGCCAGAGUGAUUUAUAGGCACUAAGCUGGUCUUCAUCAUGAAAUUUGAUCAGAAAGGAAACCUUGUUGACAACAGAAUAUAAUCAAACAAGCUGCUCAGCUCAGAUGGACCAAAAUAAUGAACGCACGCACAGUAUAUUGAACCAAAAUAGUGAACGCACAGUAGAAAACAGACGGAGAAGUUAGCGCAUGUUGAACGCACAGUAUGUAUUUUACUGUAAAUUAAUUGAUGACAUUGUUGUCCCAACUCAGGUAUUAUCCUUGUAUGUUGAGUUCAAGAGUCCAUGUAAAGCGGCAAUUUUUACAAUGUUCGCUGAGGCCACAAGUAUUUGUAACCCAGAAUUGUAGCCUCUGUAAUACAAUUAUUGGAUACUGUUGGUCCAAAGUGCUUUAUUUGAAGGAACUAUUUAAGUUUCAGUAAUA